CCCGCCGCUGCUGCCCGCCUCAGCCCAACAUGGCGAUGCACAACAAGGCGGCGCCGCCGCAGAUCCCGGACACCCGGCGGGAGCUUGCCGAGCUCGUGAAGCGGAAGCAGGAGCUGGCGGAGACUCUGGCCAACUUGGAGAGACAGAUCUAUGCUUUUGAAGGAAGCUACCUGGAAGACACUCAGAUGUAUGGCAAUAUCAUUCGUGGCUGGGACCGCUACCUAACCAACCAAAAAAACUCCAAUAGCAAGAAUGAUCGAAGGAACCGGAAGUUUAAGGAAGCCGAGCGGCUCUUCAGUAAAUCCUCGGUGACGUCGGCAGCUGCAGUGAGUGCGUUGGCAGGAGUUCAGGACCAGCUCAUUGAAAAGAGGGAGCCGGGCAGUGGGACGGAAAGUGAUACCUCUCCAGACUUCCACAAUCAGGAGAAUGAGCCCAGCCAGGAGGACGCGGAGGAGCUGGACGGACCUGUGCAGGGGCUGAAGCCUCAGAAGGCUGCCUCUUCCACCUCCUCCGGGAGUCACCACAGCAGCCACAAAAAGCGGAAGAACAAGAACCGGCACAGGUAUGUAUAUUAGGUUAGGCUGGGAAGUUUUUUUUAAAAACAGAAAAACGUGAUGGAGGAUUGAUCUGAAGUUAAACAAAAAACCUCGAGCUGACUAUUAGAAGACUCCUCCGUGCAGAAGCCGCCGGCCGCGCAGAGCCCUGCUUCCCUCCUCCAGCCUCACGGAGACGCGCAUCCUUCAUCUGAGUGUGUGGUCGUCCGCUCUGCUCUCCCAGACCCAGUGCCUGUGACUUCGAGUAGUUGUCCUAAAUGUGACGAGUCAUUUCUGUAAGACAUUGGACCCUUUACUUUGUGUCAUUUGUAGUGACAGAACCGCAGGAAGACCAAGACACGGCUGUGCUCCCGGCAGGCUGCUGCCGCGCGUCCGUGCCCUCAGCCUGGCUGGCACCUGCGUCGUCUGUGCUCUGGUUUUGUUUUGUGCUGAAAGUGGAGCCCGAGUCACAUUGUGGAUGGAGGCUGUAAAUAGCUGGCGCCGUUUGUUUUGGUUUUGUUGUUUUCCUGGUGUUGCUUUGACCAUCUCAGUCCCUGGGGACUUGUCGCAAUGCCUUCGGACAGCUCAUCCCUCCCUGUCCGCAGACACGGCAGCCGGCGUGCCUGAGAUCCGUUCCAUGCACUUGCCAGUGCCCUUAACUGAAGAGUCUGCUUUGCCGUCUGUAAAGUGGGGCGCUCGGCUCUUUGUCCUUUGCAGGGGGAAGGUAAAGGUGUUUAUUUAAUGAUUACCUAUCUUAAGGCUUUCUGAGUUAGAAACAAUUUCAUGUUCACAGAACAGGAAACGCUGAAAAACAUCAGUUCAAAUCAAUCCUCUUAAAAUAGAUCUUUUUAUUCUUUUGUAUGAAUAAAAUUUCACAGGCCUUGACUUCUCAUGCACUACUUUUAAACCUGAGAUUGUUGUUCGCCUGUUCGUUCAUAUCAUGCCUUGUGGAGAUUCUUUCUUUGCCCACCUUUUCUCUCUUUGCUGGUGUUUACCUGAUUAAAUAUUGCUCUAAAAAUCACCAAAGUGUAUGGAAAGGCUCAAAGUUAACGCUGAAAGCCGGUAACGUGUGGCACUCCUGAGCGGAGAGCCCCCAGGGUUUGCGAGCCAGUGCUGCCCAGCAGAUGGCCCGUCCUCGCCCAGGAACCUGCGCCGUCACUCCCUGCCUCUGAGCAGUGCUGGUCCUCAGCUGUGCACCGGGGUCACCUGGUGAGCCUAACACUGACGCCUGGACCCGCCCCAGACACUGCAGGGGACGGCUACAGCCAUGUGACUGGGAUUUUCUUUCAAAGAGUCCUUGGAAUUCUGAUUAAAAGCCAAGUUGAAGACCUUUGUGUUGGGACACAGAAUGGUUUUUGAGUUCAAUCCCGUGUCAGGAGUCAGUCCAGGGAUACAGUUGGGGCCUCACCUUUCCCUUAACUCUAGUUGGUCCCAGUCCUUUACUUCUGCCCAUAGUUUUGAAAGAAAAACCCAUUCCACUUGUGAUACUGGUGAAGCUGAACAUGGGUGACGAGGGCCUGCCUUGUCUGGUGUGCAGAACCUGCACCCACGUUCUCAAGCUUUUCUUUCUUUUUUCUUUUUGGACUCUGUGGCUAUUUAGAUGUCGUUGCUAACAGAACUCCCAUGUCAGGGUUUU